rnacentral:tRNA from 1 species
UAAAUAGCUCAGUUGGUUAGAGUGUGGUGCUGAUAAUGCCAUGGUUGCAGGUUUGAUUCCCGUAUGGGAAAA